rnacentral:rRNA from 1 species
UACGUAGGGUGCGAGCGUUGUCCGGAAUUAUUGGGCGUAAAGGGCUCGUAGGCGGUUUGUCGCGUCGGGAGUGAAAACGCCGUGCUUAACACGGCGCUUGCUUUCGAUACGGGCAGACUAGAGGUAUGCAGGGGAGAACGGAAUUCCUGGUGUAGCGGUGAAAUGCGCAGAUAUCAGGAGGAACACCGGUGGCGAAGGCGGUUCUCUGGGCAUUACCUGACGCUGAGGCGCGAAAGCUAGGGGAGCAAACGGG